UAGGCUUUGAAUUUCAUGGUAAUGUUUUGUUUUUGAGUGCAUGCAAGCAUGAUUCCGCCUUUUAAUUGUUAAUUGCAUGCUAUAUGAUGUUGCUCAAAUGAACAUGUUUUUCAAAAUAAAUCCUUCAAGUGGUAUCAGAGCCUAGGUCUAGUAGUUGGUGAAUCCUUUUGGGUUUUGUAGUUCAUAAGUUUAUGAUUUAAAAGUUGUAAUUGUUACAAGCUUUAUUCUUGCUUCUUUGAAUGUAAAUUUUGUUUGAAAAUUUGCCAUCUCAAAUGUUGUAGAUGUAGUUCAUAUGAGGAUGAAUAUUGGAGCUAAAAUUUGGUGCCAUGAUUUU
rnacentral:lncRNA from 1 species